CCUUUGGUGGUAAAGAGGACUAAUGUACUUCCUCCGGAAGAACACUUGCUUAAUUCGAGUGUGCAGGAUGCUGGGACAAUGCACUAUAGUGUAAUACCUGCAGCCAGCCACUGUAUGGAAUGUACAGAGAGCUCAAACAAAUCCAACAUGUUUGCCUGGAUUAUAUUGUGUCUCUUGCUAAAUGCACCAAACAGAGUCACUGCAAAUACUGUAAGUUUUGCUUAUAUAUCUCUCCAAAUAUAAUUAAACACAUGCCAUGAAAAGCUAUCCAUCAAAUUUUCAACAGAAAAAAAUCCAUGCUGUGCAUCAAGUGUUUUCAAACCAUGCAACUGUAUGACUUCUUAAACAUUUACGUAUACUGAGAAACGAAUCUUGGCAAUGACAUGCAUGUUUACUGAAACAGCGAGAGCCGCACCCAUUUGAUUGAAAUGGAUGUUAAAUAUUGGAACAAGAUGUUCUGGCAAGCAACAGAACCUGAUCUGUAAAGCGUGAACUUAAUUGAUUUACAGUCUGCUUUAUAUCGGCUUAUAUUUCUCAUUUUACAAAAUGUGAGCUUAAAAUACAUUUAUUAAUAAUAUUUAUUAUUGUUAUUGUUUAUAAUGAAAGCUUCCGUUGAAGAAAGUGUGUACUAUUUAAAACAGAACUGGAUGUAAAGUUCUUAUUAAAGCUAAUAGACUGUCUGGUCUAUACUUGGCACAAUGCUUGAAAAUAAGCAAACCUUAACCUGUGCUAACUUAUGUUGUCCUGUAGGUAGUAAAAGAGUCACAGACAUCCGCUUGCCUUCUGCUAAAGGCCAUGAUGGGUGAAGUGAUUAAUAACAUUAAUAACAAGUGCUACUUGUGAUCUCUUCAAGCCACCAGUUGGGGGCACACUGAGACCACAUUAGAGAUUAAUGGACCUCAUAAACUCCAAGGCUGAACUCUUUACAAUCAUGCACUGUCCUGAAGACACAAUUUGUGUUCUUCACUCAAAAACAGGCUUAAUAUGUGCUCGAGACGUGUCCUUCGAGACUCACAUUUAGAAAUCACUGUCGUCUUUGCUGUAAUAUUUGAAUGUUCAAGUUAUUAUAUUGAAAAUUUUAUGCAAUGUCCUAUUUGUUUUUGCUCCAAGACUUGCAUAGAAUAAAUAGGAUGACUUUUCUGAAGAUGUGAGAUUAGCUACGUGAAUAUGAUUUUUUUUGACAGUUUCUAUGCAUGACCUUUAGCAGAGCCUAGAUCUGUGACGAGUCCUGUAAGCGGUCCAGUUAUUUGUUUAGCAUUGUUCUGCUGUUCUCUUUCCCAUUAUUGCCUGGAAGCUAGCUAUGUCUUCAAGGAAUUAAGCUAUUUAUGUCAGGCUGCAAUCUAGGACUCGUACUGUAUGCGUGUGUUGUCAGGGACACCCAAGCAGACAAAGGACGAAAUAUACAAAUCUGAAUGCGAUUUCAAAACACUGCAAGAAACAAUCCAUAUGCACUGUGUAUAUGUUCACAUUGCAAUUUAGCAAUAUCUUGCUGGGAUCUUAUCUGCAUACUCAGCAUGAAGAGACUUAGGCUCUUAGGGCACAGCUGGCACAUUUGUCUAUAUGCCCAUGCCACAGGUAUAGAAUAGUUUACAAUAAAAAUGAUUAUUGACUCAAUUUCUUCAAUUUCUCCAAACAGUAUGACUUUCUUUCCUCUAUGGAAUACAAAAGAUGGUUUGCUGACAGUUUUGGGUUCUAUUUUUUUCAUAAAGUGACGGGUACAAUUAAGCUUCAAAGGUGAACAAAAGAGAUCUGUUAUCUUUUCGGAAUGGCUACUUGAAAUUGCAAUGUUGGAAAGCAGCUUUGCAAAAAAUACUCUUCAGAACAGACAGCAGAGACAUAAUAAAAACAGAUGUAUACAAAUAAGGAUAAACAUAUCUUAUAAAAAUUAUGAAAUUAUUAUAUAAUGCUGAAAUAUAAUGCAUCACAAUGUUGUGAUAUUUCUACAUACACAACUACAUAGAUUAUAUCUGGGUCCUCUGUAAAAAAUUGACAAAACAUUCUCCCAACUAAUGUAAACAAAGUAUUAAUGUAAUAAUUUAUUUAAAUUCAACAUGUUUAGUUUUGUUGACCUCACUCAGAUUUCCUUCCAACAAAUCAUUCUUUGUAAAUGAGAAUAAUUUACGUGCAAUAUAUAGCACAAUAGUUCACGCUACAAGAGUAUACAGUACAUUUGUAUAGACUAAUAUAAAGGUGAUAUUCCAAUGAUAUUCAACCAAAUGUCCCAAACAGAGACACUGUUGUUGUUUUGUGAGUUUCUGUAUUGCAGCACAGCAUGUAUUGAACUUUGCAACUGUAGGGUUAUUAAGGGGCUCUAUGACCAGGUCUCGACACCAGACAGCAGGAAGGAGACUGUGGUUUUACUCAGCCACUUGUUAAGCUCCUAACCAGAGAAACAUUUAUGUAACCCAUCCAAACCAUUCACCAGGUGGCAACUGUCCGAUUAUAGUCGGAGUAAGUCCUGUGCCAGGUGCCGAGGUGACAUCAGCAUGCAGAGGGAGAUGGGACGCAGACUUCCUGGAAAACUCUUAUUUCAGGAGAUGGGCUCAUAGAGUUAUGCCACUGACUGCACAGCUUUAGAGCCUUAUUCAUGAUAUAGCGUCAUGCGUUCAUGUCAGUCUUGUCUUUUAGCCUGUAGUGAGACGGAAUAGUGCAGCUUGAUGGGAACCUGAUCCCAGAUCAACACCCAGUACCUUUUAGGGCUUUGGGGAGAUAUUCACAAAGCACUCUGGUGGUCUACUGUCAGUUUGUAUGAUCUAAAUGUAUAUGGAGAGUGCAUGUGAAAGGAAUCUGAUGCUAGACAGGCUUUAUAUAAUCCACACAUUUUUCAGUGUCGUGGAAAGCUAGCUUGUGUUAGAGCUCCUGUUACUGGGUUUUAGAAUGAACGAAUAUAAGGCUUUUAAAAGCACUUUUCCAAGAAACUGAAGGAGCAAUUGAAGUGAAGGAAUAUUGGUGCAGUGUGGAUCAAGAACAGCUGUACAGUUCAGUUGUGAACAUGUCAUGUGCAUUAGCAUUGGUACACCAUUGUAGUCUAUAGUGGCCAAUAACUAUUUGGUUGCAAGCAUUCUUUCAAAUAUCUUUCUCUGUGUUUAUCAGAGCAAAUACAUGUAUUAAAAUUUACCCACCCUCAAAUGUAACAAUUUGAGGGUGAGUAAAUGAAUAUUGAAUUUUCUUUUUUGAUGAACUGUUCCUUUAAGUGACCAUAUAUUGCAGAACAUCAGUAUGUUGCGUCCUAAUCCUUCUGGCCUGUUACCACGAUUAAAAGUUUCCACACAGGCACCGCAGAACCCGUCCUCACCUCUUCUGUAAAGUUACCAUGAUGCCAUCGAAUUAUUGCAUUAAUUUUACUUGUCAUGGAACGACAAACCACCUGCUCUUCACAUUUUCAUAUGAGACUCCUCAGUAUGGCCUCUACGCAGCAUGUUCAAGGCGAUAAGAGAUCAAGAUGGAUUUAACCAUUUCCCCAUGGCGACCUCUAUAUGGGCUUCACAAACCUACCGAAAGGUAGGUUUGACAACUUUCAACAUCAAUUAUCCUUUCGGUAGGUUUGUGAAGCCCUCCACCAAACGCACUGGACCCCCGUGGGCCACCUGCACAACCCCGUCCCCGUGCAAACAGACUUGGAGGAUUGGAGGUCCAGACAUCUCUCACAAUUUUUCACAGAACUUCAGGGAAGCUCCUGGAAUUCAGCUCACAACAACAAGGUCACACAAAUGCAGGAGAGCAGGAUGUUCCAUGAAACUGAUGUCAGCCCUGGUGCCAGUAUCUUAAAUUGGUCAAAAGUUAGGGGGCGGGGUCACUUGUCGCUUGGCUCUUAGAACAUGCAGUGUUUGAGGAGCACAGUGUCCCGACUCACUUGAGAGACAGUCCAUGUGUUUGAGCCCUGGAAGAGAUAUCAAAGGAUCUUCGAAACUAAGGUUGCAGUCUCUGUUCUCUAUUGUGCCCGUUCCCUCCUCUCAGUGACAUGCCAUUAGGCCGCAGGUCCACAUCUCUCAGACACAUUUGCACCAAGGUGCUGCUGGCUGAGGGUAGAGAGUCACCGUUCACCGAACACUGUCGAGACUUUGAGAAAAUUUACGGGGUUCUGCAGACAGAGGUCCAAAAGCUGAAGGAUGAGGUUCAGGAGAUGCACAGAGACCUCACGAUGCAUCAUUCGCUCAUUACCACAGACACCAUGGAUAGCAUCCUCCAAAUGUCUCUGCUCAUUGACCAACAGAUUGCAUCUCUGUAUUCUACCGCGCAGACCCAGAGGGCUGUAUUUGAGGAGCUAUGGGAUAUGACAUUUCAAAGAGUCAACAGUGAGCAGGAGAUCUAUGAAGCACAGCUUCAUGACCUUCUGCAGUUAAGGCAGGAAAACGCAUACUUGACAGCCAUCGCACGACAGAUUGGACCCUACAUCUUAUCAAUAACAAAAGUUAAAGAGCGCCUGGAACACAGGUUGUUUUAAAAUUGUGAAAUUGUAUAAAUUUGAACAGGCAUGCAAUCUGAGAUUUUUUUGUUGCUGUAUGCACACAGAUUACAAAAGCCCCACAGUCCUGAUGAUGAUUGCAUGGACACUAUAAAGAUAAAAAAUGUGUAUCAAUAAGAAGAGGUGCUCAGCAGUCAGGUACAGAUGGAUCUGUUAUUCUACAGCCUGGAGAGACGUUAAAAAAAGAGCAUUGACUACUGCUGGCAUAGAGAGACGCAAAAUAAUUUAGAGACCUCCUGCUGCAAAGAGCUGCAUGUUUGGACAAUUAUGAACAUUGACAGCAAACACGGCAUGCGCCAGCACAUGAACUUGGAGCAACAAGUUGCUAAAAGAUAAUAAGGACGUGGAUCGUGUUAAAGGGAUAGUGCACCCCUAUGUCAUUUCAAACCUGUAUGACUUUCUUUUUCUGCGUAACACAAAUAAUAUCUUGAAGAAUGUUGUAAACCAAACACCAUUGACUUCCAUUUUAUGGACACAAAACCACUGAGACAUUUCUCAAAAUAUCUUUUCUGUUUCAAAGUAAGACGAGUUAUAAACAGGUUUUGUACAAGAUGAUGGUGGAUAAAGGUGAAUGAUCCCUUUAAAAGCAUUUUAAGUGUGUGAUACCAAAUGGACCUUAGCACAGACAGAUCAAGUGGAUCAAAUGGCUCAUAAACUUGGUUAUUUUAGAUAGAACUGCUAUUGUUUUGAUUUGGAUUAUGAACUGUAAUGAGAGUAAAUUGUAAAUAUAAUAUAAAAAGUCAUGAUAAAAUAAAAACCUAUG